AUUGAACGCUGGCGGCAGGCCUAACACAUGUAAGUCGAGCGUAUUAUGUGAGCUUGCUCCUGGAUUCAGCAGCGUACGGGUGAGUAAUGCCUAGGACACUUCCUCGAAGUGGGGGAUAACGUCCGGACACGGGCGCUAAUACCUCAUACGUUCUGACGGAGAACGUGGGGGGUAUUCGGACCUCACGCUAUCAGAUGAGCCUAGGUCUCAUUAGCUAGUGGGUGGGGUAAAGGCCUACCAAGGCGACGAUCCGUAACUGGUCUGAGAGGAUGAGCAGGCACACGGGAACUGAGAAAAGCUCCAGACCCCUACGGGAGGGAGCAGUGGGGAAUAUUGGACAAUGCGCGCAAGCUUGCUCCAGCCAUGCCGCGUGCGUGAAGAAGCUCUUCGGCUUAUAAAGCACUUUAAGUUGGGAGGAAGGGCAGUAAGUUAAUACCUUGCUGUUCUGACGUUACCCACAGAAUAGGCACGGGCUAACUUCGUG
rnacentral:rRNA from 1 species